rnacentral:rRNA from 1 species
GCCGGAGGGAAACCGAGUCUUAAUUGGGCGUUAAGUUGCAGGGUAUAGACCCGAAACCCGGUGAUCUAGCCAUGGGCAGGUUGAAGGUUGGGUAACACUAACUGGAGGACCGAACCGACUAAUGUUGAAAAAUUAGCGGAUGACCUGUGGCUGGGGGUGAAAGGCCAAUCAAACCGGGAGAUAGCUGGUUCUCCCCGAAAGCUAUUUAGGUAGCGCCUCGUGAAUUCAUCUCCGGGGGUAGAGCACUGUUUCGGCUAGGGGGCCAUCCCGGCUUACCAACCCGAUGCAAACUGCGAAUACCGGAGAAUGUUAUCACGGGAGACACACGGCGGGUGCUAACGUCCGUCGUGAAGAGGGAAACAACCCAGACCGCCAGCUAAGGUCCCAAAGUCAUGGUUAAGUGGGAAACGAUGUGGGAAGGCCCAGACAGCCAGGAUGUUGGCUUAGAAGCAGCCAUCAUUUAAAGAAAGCGUAAUAGCUCACUGGUCGAGUCGGCCUGCGCGGAAGAUGUAACGGGGCUAAACCAUGCACCGAAGCUGCGGCAGCGAACGUAUCACUUAAAGCGAUUCAGCGGGUUACGAUUGACGGAGCGAAGCGACGUCAAAGCGUAUACAAAGUCGAGUCGGUUUAAGGAUACGUUCGUUGGGUAGGGGAGCGUUCUGUAAGCCUGUGA